UGAACGCUGGCGGCGUGCCUAAUACAUGCAAGUCGAACGGGAAGCCUCGGACUUGUCUGGGGUGGAGAGUGGCGAACGGGUGAGUAACACGUAGGUGACCUGCCUCGAAGAUGGGGAUAACUGUUGGAAACGGCAGCUAAUACCCAAUGCACUCGGUAAUUCGGUUUAUCGAGUAAAGCGCCCCUCACGGGGAUAGCGCUUCGAGAUGGGCCUGCGGCCUAUCAGCUAGUUGGUAGGGUAAUGGCCUACCAAGGCGAGGACGGGUAGGGGGCGUGAGAGCGUGACCCCCCACACUGGCACUGAGACACGGGCCAGACUCCUACGGGAGGCAGCAGUCGGGGAUAUUGCGCAAUGGACGAAAGUCUGACGCAGCGACGCCGCGUGAGUGAUGAAGGCCUUCGGGUUGUAAAACUCUUUUAUGGGGGAAGAGGAAGGACGGUACCCCAUGAAUAAGCGUCGGCUAACUACGUGCCAGCAGCCGCGGUAAAACGUAGGACGCAAGCGUUAUCCGGAUUUACUGGGCGUAAAGAGCGUUGAGGCGGCUCUGUAAGUUGGGCGUGAAAGCCCUCGGCUUAACUGAGGGACGCCGUCCAAUACUGCAGGACUUGAGGGCAGCAGAGGGAGGUGGAAUUCCCGGUGUAGCGGUGAAAUGCGUAGAGAUCGGGAGGAACACCAGUGGCGAAGGCGGCCUCCUGGGCUGCUUCUGACGCUGAAUGCGAAAGCUAGGGUAGCGAACGGGAUUAGAAGCCCCGGUAGUCCUAGCUGUAAACGAUGGAUGCUAGGUGUAGGAGGUAUAGAUCCCUUCUGUGCCGAAGCUAACGC
rnacentral:rRNA from 1 species